GGGGAAUAUUGCGCAAUGGGGGAAACCCUGACGCAGCAAUACCGCGUGAGUGAAGAAGGUUUUCGGAUCGUAAAGCUCUGUUAUUGGGGAAGAAAAAAAGACGGUACCCAAGAAGAAAGUCCCGGCUAACUACGUGCCAGCAGCCGCGGUAAUACGUAGGGCGCGAGCGUUGUCCGGAUUUAUUGGGCGUAAAGAGCUCGUAGGCGGUUUGUUGCGUCUGCUGUGAAAACGCGGGGCUUAACUUCGCGCGUGCAGUGGGUACGGGCAGGCUAGAGUGCGGUAGGGGAGAUUGGAAUUCCUGGUGUAGCGGUGGAAUGCGCAGAUAUCAGGAGGAACACCGAUGGCGAAGGCAGGUCUCUGGGCCGUUACUGACGCUGAGGAGCGAAAGCGUGGGGAGCGAACA
rnacentral:rRNA from 1 species